rnacentral:rRNA from 1 species
UGCGUAGGCGGCUUGGUAAGUCAGAUGUGAAAUCCUGGGGCUCAACCUCGGAACUGCAUUUGAUACUGCCAUGCUAGAGUACUGGAGAGGAGACUGGAAUUUACGGUGUAGCAGUGAAAUGCGUAGAUAUCGUAAGGAAGGCCAGUGGCGAAGGCGAGUCUCUGGACAGUAACUGACGCUGAGGCACGAAGGCUAGGGGAGCAAACG